rnacentral:rRNA from 1 species
AUUGAACGCUGGCGGCAGGCUUAACACAUGCAAGUCGAGCGGGGAAGGGUAGCUUGCUACCUAACCUAGCGGCGGACGGGUGAGUAAUGCUUAGGAAUCUGCCAUUUAGUGGGGGACAACAUUCCGAAAGGAAUGCUAAUACCGCAUACGUCCUAGGAGAGAAAGCAGGGGAUCUUCGGACCUUGCGCUAAAUGAUGAGCCUAAGUCGGAUUAGCUAGUUGGUGGGGUAAAGGCCUACCAAGGCGACGAUCUGUAGCGGGUCUGAGAGGAUGAUCCGCCACACUGGGACUGAGACACGGCCCAGACUCCUACGGGAGGCGGCAGUGGGGAAUAUUGGACAAUGGGCGGAAGCCUGAUCCAGCCAUGCCGCGUGUGUGAAGAAGGCCUUAUGGUUGUAAAGCACUUUAAGCGAGGAGGAGGCUACUUAGAUUAAUACUCUAGGAUAGUGGACGUUACUCGCAGAAUAAGCACCGGCUAACUCUGUGCCAGCAGCCGCCGUAA